AUUGAACGCUGGCGGCAGGCCUAACACAUGCAAGUCGAGCGGAUGAAGGGAGCUUGCUCCUGGAUUCAGCGGCGGACGGGUGAGUAAUGCCUAGGAAUCUGCCUGGUAGUGGGGGAUAACGUCCGGAAACGGGCGCUAAUACCGCAUACGUCCUGAGGGAGAAAGUGGGGGAUCUUCGGACCUCACGCUAUCAGAUGAGCCUAGGUCGGAUUAGCUAGUUGGUGGGGUAAAGGCCUACCAAGGCGACGAUCCGUAACUGGUCUGAGAGGGUGAUCAGUCACACUGGAACUGAGACACGGUCCAGACUCCUACGGGAGGCAGCAGUGGGGAAUAUUGGACAAUGGGCGAAAGCCUGAUCCAGCCAUGCCGCGUGUGUGAAGAAGGUCUUCGGAUUGUAAAGCACUUUAAGUUGGGAGGAAGGGCAGUAAGUUAAUACCUUGCUGUUUUGACGUUACCAACAGAAUAAGCACCGGCUAACUUCAUG
rnacentral:rRNA from 1 species